rnacentral:rRNA from 1 species
GACGAACGCUGGCGGCGUGCUUAACACAUGCAAGUCGAACGGUGAAGCGCCUUCCUUUUUGGUGGGUGUGGAUGAGUGGUGAACGGGUGAGUAACACGUGAGUAACCUGCCCCCUUCUUCUGGAUAACCGCAUGAAAGUGUGGCUAAUACGGGAUAUUCUGGGUCUGUCGCAUGAUGGGUCUGGGAAAGAUAUUGUUUCGGUGGGGGAUGGGCUCGCGGCCUAUCAGCUUGUUGGUGGGGUGAUGGCCUACCAAGGCGGUGACGGGUAGCCGGCCUGAGAGGGUGGACGGUCACAAUGGGACUGAGACACGGCCCAGAAUCCUACGGGAGGCAGCAGUGGGGAAUAUUGCACAAUGGGCGCAAGCCUGAUGCAGCGACGCCGCGUGAGGGAUGGAGGCCUUCGGGUUGUGAACCUCUUUCGCCAGUGAAGCAGGCCUGCCUCGUUUGUGGGUGGGUUGACGGUAGCUGGAUAAGAAGCGCCGGCUAACUACGUG